AUUUAUUGGGUUUAAGGGUGCGUAGGCGGGCUUAUAAGUCAGCGGUGAAAGUUCAUGGCUCAGCCAUGAAAUUGCCGUUGAAACUGUGAGUCUUGAGUGUAGAUGAGGUGGGCGGAAUUCGUAGUGUAGCGGUGAAAUGCUUAGAUAUUACGAAGAACUCCAAUUGCGAAGGCAGCUCACUAGACUACAACUGACGCUGAGGCACGAAGGUGCGGGGAUCAAACAGGAUUAGAUACCCUGGUAGUCCGCACAGUAAACGAUGAAUACUAACUGUUUGCGAUACACAGCAAGGUGGUACAGUGAAAACGUUAAGUAUACCACCUGGGGGAGUACGUUCGCAAAGAAUGAAACUCAAAGGAAUGGACGGGGGGCCCGCACAAGGCGGAGGAACAUGUGGUUUAAUUCGAUGAUACGCGAAGGAACCUUACCCGGGGCUUGAAUUGCAUUUGAAUACGGGUAGAAACAUCGUAGCCAGCAAUGGCAAAUGUGAAGGUGCUGCAUGGUUGUCGUCAGCUCGUGCCGUGAGGUGUCGGCUUAAGUGCCAUAACGAGCGCAACCCUCAUCAUUAGUUACUAACAGGUCAUGCUGAGGACUCUAAUGAGACUGCCAGCGUAAGCUGUGAGGAAGGUGGGGAUGACGUCAAAUCAGCACGGCCCUUACGUCCGGGGCGACACACGUGUUACAAUGGGGGGGAACGGCAGGCAGCUACACGGCGACGUGAUGCUAAUCCCCAAACCCCCUCUCAGUUCGGAUCGAAGUCUGCAACCCGACUCUCGUGAAGCUGGAUUCGCUAGUAAUCGCGCAUCACCAUGGCGCGGGGAAUACGUUCCCGGGCCUUGUGACACACCGCC
rnacentral:rRNA from 1 species